rnacentral:rRNA from 1 species
CCUACGGGAGGCAGCAGUGGGGAAUCUUGCACAAUGGGGGAAACCCUGAUGCAGCGACGCCGCGUGUGUGAAGAAGUAUUUCGGUAUGUAAAGCUCUAUCAGCAGGGAAGAAAUAGCGACCUUUGGGUCGCCAGACGGUACCUGAUUAAGAAGCCCCGGCUAACUACGUGCCAGCAGCCGCGGUAAUCCUUAGGGGGCAAGCGUUAUCCGGAUUUACUGGUUGUAAAGGGAGCGUAGACGGCAGCGCAAGUCUGAAGUGAACUGCCGGGGCUUAACCCCGGAACUGCGUGGGAAACUGUGCAGCUAGAGGGCAGGAGAGGUAAGUGGAAUUCCUAGUGUAGCGGUGAAAUGCGGAGAUAUUAGGAGGAACACCAGUGGCGAAGGCGGCUUACUGGACUGUAACUGACGUUGAGGCUCGAAAGCGUGGGGAGCAAACAGGAUUAGAUACCCGAGUAGUC